AAUAUUCUGCUAAUGGAUUCUGUCCACAGUUCCCAUUAUUUUGUUCUAUUGAAAAUUAAGCCUACAUUAAUUUGUUUUGUGGAAAUUUAUUUUUAAGGAGAAAAUGUUGCCCAGAAAGAGGAGACGACUUAGAAUUUUUUUUUUCUUUUUUGUGCGUGAAUAUUAUCAUACAUGUUCACAUGUGAACAUAUGUGAAUACUAAUUAAUUGAGUUGAUAAAAUCUUUUGCCUGAUGUUUAAUCUGCUCACACUCGUGAGA
rnacentral:lncRNA from 1 species